UGAAAGAAAUACACUUAUAUAGAGAUCGAAAGGAAAGCUUUGAUAGGCCUGAAGCUGUUCCAGCUGCAAAAAAACUUCAACCUGAUGAAUGGUGGAGGUUGUUUGGUAGUUCUGCUCCAUGUUUACAAAAAAUUGCAGUUCGCAUUCUUAGCCAAGCAUCUGCUUCUUCAGGGUGUGAAAGGAAUUGGAGUCUUUUUGAUCAAAUUCAUACAACAAGAAGGAAUAGAUUGGAGCAUGAUAGGCUAAAUGAUAUUGUGUAUGUUACAUAUAAUUUGCGUCUUAAAUCCAGGAAUGAAAGAAAAAAAAGAAAGCAAAAGUCGCAAUAUGAUCCAAUCGAUAUUGAAACUAUUGAUAAGGUUGAUUUUUGGGUGACGGAAGAGGUUGUUGAAAAAGAGCCUGAUCUUCCAAGUAAUAUUGAAGACUUGCUUCAUGAGAUUGAUGCUGAUUUAGAUCAAGGUGGUGGUGGUAGUACUAGUACAUUUUAUGCUGCACCACUUGCUUUUUCUGGUCCAAGUAGUGGAAAUGAAGGUGAUGAAAUCAAUGAGGCAAAUCUGCAGCAAAUUAUGGAGGAUUUUGAUGAUUGAUGACAAACUUGGAUCAUUUUGAU